GACCAGACGUCCCUGUUUUCCGGGGACAGUCCCCAUUAUUGGUGGCGUUGUGCUUGUUUUGUCCAGCAGAGGGGGCUGCUCUCUAUAGCAGCUUCAUUCACUCUUCUUCUACUAACUACAUGCUCGCGAUAGUUUUAGAGAAAACUGCUGUGGAAAACUUUGCCAGAAGCUAGCAAGUGUCAAGUGAAUCUAUAACAUCACCACAAACCUCUUUUCAAGCCAGGCCGGUGGUAGCUGGUCCCAUGCAGGAAGGUGAGGUUCCGGAGGUUCCUCCGCCCCAUCUGGACAUCGAGGGGUCCCCGGCGUACACGAUAUGAGCUAUUCUGGACUCGAGACGCCGGGUGAGGGGCUUGCAGUACCUCGUUGACUGGGAGGGGUACGGUCCGGAGGAGAGGUGCUGGGUUCCGGUGAGGGAUAUUCUAGAUCCAUCUAUGUUGAGAGAGUUCCAUCGCCUCCGUCCGGAUCGCCUGGCACCUCGGCCCCCCUGGUCGUCCCCGAGGCCUUACCGAAGUCGCCGGUCUACUAGCUAUCACCGAUCCAUGUUCUGUAUUCCUUUGGUUUUGUCUGAUUGGUUUCACCUGUUUCUUGUUUGGUUGUUAGGGUGGUUAUAUAUAUAGUUUGUUCAGCCCGCUUCUGUUUCGUGCGGGCUUGUUCGUCUGUUCUGUGUUUGAGUGUAUUUUGUUUGUAUUUUGGGUUUCGUGCUAUCCGUUGAUAUUUCUGAUAAUUUGUUUUCCUACUUUUGUUCAUGUUAUUUCUCCUGGACAUUAAAGCGUGUUUUUUCCCACA